UUGAAUGACUGUGAAUUUCUCAUCAAAAACCAUAUGGAAACAAGAAGUGAGUAGCACAAUAUUUUUAAAGUGCUGAAAGGAAAUAACUGUCAACACAGAAACUAUAACCAACAAAAAUAUCCUUCAGGAAUGAAGGUAAAAUAAAGACAUACUCAGAUGAAAGGAAACAAAGAGAAUUUAUAUCCAGUACAUCUGCUCUAAAGAAUUGCUAAAGGAAGCUUUCCACACAGAAGGCAAAUGAUACCAGACAGAAACUUGUACCUCCAGGAAUGAAGAAAAACAACAGAAAUGGUAAAAUCUGGGACAACUGUUUGUUUUCCAUGCACAUCUCUUACAAGUUGAUAAGUGAGUGAUCAGGACAAUCAAGAGGCCUUACGUAUCUGAAGAGGCCAUCUCACAACUGAACGAGUACUGGAUUUCCUUGACUCAGAAAACAAAUGUUCAUCAUUUUCUCAUGGUCAUGAAAGAAACUUAAAAGAAACUGUGUAAUUUCUUUGUCCUCAUCUACCCACAAACAAAACCUUAGAAGAUUAUUGACAGGAGAGUCAAAGAUAUUCAUAACUUUUAAGGUUGGUUUGAAAGCCGAGUAGCUGCCACCCCUCCAAACUGUAAUGAAGCCGUUGGAAAUUGAAACAAGCCUCAUGUUUGUCACAAGUCUUCUCUACGUCUACCAGUGCUGGGCUGGCACACAGGCUAAAGAGCGCAGGAUUCAGGAAUCAGCAACAGAAGAUCGAGGACUGAACUCCGUCUCUGUCUAUGCCACAUCAACUCCCUGAGGCUCAGUUUCCUUGCUGGAAAAUAUGCACCAACAGCCUCUUCUCCCGGGUGGGUUACACUGCAAGGCCCAUCAGAUACUCACAUAGAAGAGCCUAUCGACUGUUUAAAUGGUUCACCAGGCUAAAUGAGAAUAUUAUAUGUGAGUCUUGAUUUAAAUAAUUUAAAAAACUCCUCUCUAUUCAAGUGGCAAAAAGAGUUCUUAUGGAAGGAAUGAGUCUAAUGUGGUCUGUCUGUGGUGUUCAUGAGAAAAUAAGGAGGGAAAGCCAUCCAUCUUCUACUUAUCCUGCCUGCCUUUUGAUAAACUGACAUUAACUCUGCCUCCAGAAUCGGUGCAUGCCUUUACCUGGACACAAUGAUUGAUUCAAGAGUAAUCCUAUCAGAGCAAAGCUCAGAGCUUUUGUUCAGUGGUUGUAAGACAUGAGCACUUUUUCUUCCACCAGAGGCAAAGUAGGAAGUAUGGAUUCUUCGUUACCACUGACAGCUGUCUCCAAAAAUGAGGAAAAUCAGCCCAAAGAAAAGGCUAACAUAUAAAGAAGAGAGAAGAGCCAAAGAAUUAAUAAAAAAGUGGAGAGAGGCCUGAUGGAACAGUUCCAGAAACAACUCUACUUCUGAACUUUUAUGUUUGUUUUUUAAGUCAUUUGAAGUGGG
rnacentral:lncRNA from 1 species